UUAAUUAUCCAUGGCAAUCAUCAAAGGUAAACUGAUUUACUAAUAUAAGUUAAUCUAAAUAUUAUGUCGCGUUCUCAACUUCUCCCUUGUGGCUUCUUUCUCUUUCUUCCCUUUGCUCCGUUGAGUACCUUCUGAAAUUCACAAUGAGUAGCAAGAAAAAUAUUAGUACAUUGGAGAAGCUUAUCUUAAGAGAAAUUUUAUACAAGUCAAAAUUUAGUAGCUUGAGAAAAACUUGCAAUCGAUAUAAAAGACUGUGAUUUCUGCAUAAAAACAAUACAAAUUAUUUUUUUUCUUAAAAAGCUGACAAAAAACACCUUUAUUGUAUCUCAAUGCCCGAUGUAAGUCUAAACAAGUGGCAACGAAUAGAAAAGAGGUUAAUCACUUCAUGAACUGAAAGCUCUUAAGGCAAUAUAUCCUUUCUCAAUAUAUCAUAAUAAUUCCAGCGCUUAUCUCCUAAAUUCUCAAGCAAGCAUUUUCUCCUAAAGAAAAAUUGGUGGAGAAUUUCAUACUACAAGUAAAUUAGAGAAUAGAUUAAAGUAUCAUAUGAGAAUUAAAUGCGUGUUUUUAAUCGACAAAACAAACUCUAGAUGGUUUAUGCCUACAGCUGCUCCUUCGAUGCCAGCAGCAGGCUAAAUCAUUUACCUUCUUUUGGUUUCUAUUAUUCCUGUGAUGUAUAUAUAUAUAUCAAAGACUCCAGGGCUCAAUUUCCUUAUAAAAUUUGUACAGACAUAAGCAAAAAACACGUGUCAGAGCAAAGAGAGGACAGAAAAAUGAUCAGUACAAAAUACGUGCAUAGGCUUGGCAUACAAUAGGAAAAUUGAAUGCAAAGGACUGUUUGCAGGGGCAUGAAAAGGCUAAUAAUUCUGCUGUGGCAUAUCUCAAAUAGCUUUGCUGGUACAUCCGUACAAGCCCUAAAUAAAGCAGGCCGCUUACAAUUUUGAGCAUCCAACCAAAUUACAACAAUUCAGUAUGAUUAUCAGAAUAUAGUUGUGGUUGAUUCAAUCAGCAAUUCAGUACCAUUAUGUAUUAUUGAAGGUGGUAGUACAUACAAAUUUCCAUUGUAAAAUUCUGAAUAUCCGCACUAAUUCAGUAGCACUAUUUGACAUCCGUUGGUUCCGCAAACAGGGUAGUAUUUCUUGCAUGCAACAGCAGCCGAUUCCCAUAAACUCCUGGACUGUUCUAAAAGCCUCGUUGUGCUUCCUCUGCAGAAUUCAACGGGACAACAACAAUUAAAAUAAAAAGGCACAGAAAAAAAAGGAAAAGCAUGUCUGCUGACCAUGGAAGAAAGUGCACAGCGCUAGGAGAGCUCCGGCAGAAGAUUAAGAUUUUCGCUAACCCGUGGAGAAAAAAGGAGAUGUGAUGGGGCUGCUGGCGGAGGUCGUUGUUGGAGUGAUGGGGUUAGGUUUGAGGGAGGUGGCGUGGCCUGAUGCAGUGCUCACACGCACGCUGCUUAAGGGCUCGCAGGUUGCAGCGCACACUGGCUUGGACCCUGGCAGCCAUGGUCUGGCCUCUGUCAAGAGGAAGUCACAAAGUUGCUGCUGGUUGUGGAUCUCUUCAGAUCGGGGUCUCCGUCGUCGAUCUAGGAAGGAUCGCAGGUUGGGGCUGGACGGCUGUGCCCCUUGCCGGCAGCUGGUAGUGGUGGUGUUUGGCGGAGGCCACCACAGCGAGGCGAUAGGAAUGGCGUAGGGGCGAGGCCGCGGAUGGGAACCCUACCCGGAUAGGGAGGAGUCCGAUCUACCCUGCACCUCACGAGAUCGGAAGAGGAGGGGAAGGGUGAUGCCAGAUUCGGUGGCG
rnacentral:lncRNA from 1 species